rnacentral:rRNA from 1 species
UACGGGAGGCAGCAGUGGGGAAUAUUGCACAAUGGGCGCAAGCCUGAUGCAGCCAUGCCGCGUGUAUGAAAAAGGCCUUCGGGUUGUAAAGUACUUUCAGUCGUGAGGAAGGUGUUAAGGUUAAUAACCUUAGCAAUUGACGUUAGCGACAGAAGAAGCACCGGCUAACUCCGUGCCAGCAGCCGCGGUAAUACGGAGGGUGCGAGCGUUAAUCGGAAUUACUGGGCGUAAAGGGCACGCAGGCGGUUAAUUAAGUUGGAUGUGAAAUCCCCGGGCUUAACCUGGGAAUGGCAUUCAAGACUGGUUAGCUAGAGUCUUGUAGAGGGGGUAGAAUUCCAUGUGUAGCGGUGAAAUGCGUAGAGAUGUGGAGGAAUACCGGUGGCGAAGGCGGCCCCUGGCAAAGACUGACGCUCAUGUGCGAAAGCGUGGGGAGCAAACAGGAUUAGAUACC